GUGCUUGCUUCAGCAGCACAUAUACUAAAAUUGGAAUGAUACAGAGAUGAUUAGCAUGGCCCUUCUGCAAGGAUGACAUACAAAUCGUGAAGCAUUCCAUAUUUUU
ensembl:snRNA LOC120098434 U6 spliceosomal RNA